rnacentral:tRNA from 1 species
CGGUGGCGCAUUGGCCACCGUGCUGAUCUGUCUUAUCAGAGGUCAUGGGUUAAAUUCCCAUCUG